GAUGAACGCUGGCGGCGUGCCUAAUACAUGCAAGUCGAGCGAACAGACGAGGAGCUUGCUCCUCUGACGUUAGCGGCGGACGGGUGAGUAACACGUGGAUACCCUACCUAUAAGACUGGGAUAACUUCGGGAAACCGGAGAUAAUACCGGAUAAUAUAUUGAACCGCAUGGUUCAUUAGUGCAAGCCGGUUUUGCUGUCACUUAUAGAUGGAUCCGCGCCGCGUUAGCUAGUUGGUAAGGUAACGGCUUACCAAGGCGACGAUGCGUAGCCGACCUGAGAGGUGGAUCGGCCACACUGAAACUGAGACACGGUCCAGACUCCUACGGGAGGCAGCAGUAGGGAAUCUUCCGCAAUGGGCGAAAGCCUGACGGAGCAACGCCGCGUGAGUGAUGAAGGUCUGCGGAUCGUAAAACUCUGUUAUUAGGGAAGAACAAAUGUGUAAGUAACUAUGCACGUCUUGACGGUACCUAAGCAGAAAGCCACGGCUAACUACGG
rnacentral:rRNA from 1 species